rnacentral:rRNA from 1 species
GACGAACGCUGGCGGCGUGCUUAACACAUGCAAGUCGAACGGAAAGGCCCUGCUUUUGUGGGGUGCUCGAGUGGCGAACGGGUGAGUAACACGUGAGUAACCUGCCCUUGACUUUGGGAUAACUUCAGGAAACUGGGGCUAAUACCGGAUAGGAGCUCCUGCUGCAUGGUGGGGGUUGGAAAGUUUCGGCGGUUGGGGAUGGACUCGCGGCUUAUCAGCUUGUUGGUUGGGUAGUGGCUUACCAAGGCUUUGACGGGUAGCCGGCCUGAGAGGGGUACCGGCCACAUUGGGACUGAGAUACGGACCAGACUCCUACGGGAGGCAGCAGUGGGGAAUAUUGCACAAUGGGCGGAAGCCUGAUGCAGCAACGCCGCGUGCGGGAUGACGGCCUUCGGGUUGUAAACCGCUUUCGCCUGUGACGAAGCGUGAGUGACGGUAAUGGGUAAAGAAGCACCGGCUAACUACGUG